UGACGAUGAUGAUAAAACUAAGGCUUGUUUCUCAAAACAUUCGCAGUUGUCGCCUAAGAGUUUUGCCUAAGAGUUUUUGCCCUGCCAGGCUUGAGAGCUAAUGUUGCUAAUUCCUUCCUUGAAUGUCUGAGCGA
rnacentral:snoRNA from 2 species